rnacentral:lncRNA from 1 species
UAGUUACUUUCAUUUUCCAAAGGUAACAAUAUCAUUUGCUAAGAUUCUCCUCCAAGUCACGAGGCCACGAACAGCUACUCUAGGAAGGAUACCGCGGACAAAUGUAUAUAGAAACACUCAACAAUACCCCGAGGCAACCAAAGUUCCUGGUGUAUUGAUAGUUAGAGUUGAUUCUGCUAUAUACUUUUCAAACUCUAACUAUAUAAAGGAAAGGUAAAAGACAUUUCUUCCCCUUUCCCCCUUUCUUUCGUAUCUUUAUGUACUACGAAUAAAUGAACUUAACAAACUAAUCAACGCGUUUUUCAGGAUAUUGAGAUGGCUAAUGGAUGAGGAAGAACAACGAAAAGCAGCUAGUGAUCCUAAAAUUCAAUUCUUGAUCGUUGAGAUGUCACGUAAGUAGAGAUUAAAAGUAUGUUAUCUUACUCCGAGAUGAUAUAUUGAUCGUGUUUUUCCUCCUUGUAGCUGUUACUGAUAUUGACACCAGUGGCAUCCAUGCCUUGGAAGAGUUGCAUAGAAGCCUAAAAAAGAGAAAUGUUCAGGUAAAUCAUCUUUUACAUAUGUGAAAAAUUACAAAAAUUUCAACAAACAUGUCUAUAGGACGUCAACUUUAAAUUUUGGAUUUGCCUCUGUGACUCGAAAUCUUACCUUCAUUUUUUCUUGCACAGCUUGUUCUGUCGAACCCCGGGAGAGUAGUGAUUGACAAGUUACAUGCAUCCAAAUUUCCAGAUCAAAUUGGUGAGGACAAGAUUUUUCUCACAGUUGCUGAUGCUGUGCUAACAUGUUCAUUAAAAU